UGAUCAUUAGUGAAGAUUUGGGCAGGCCAUACGGACGCCAAAAAGUGUCCCUGGCCGCCUACACCCACUAUACAUCCACAAACCCGUGUGCACUGUCUUGGAGAAAGGCUUCAGAGAAGUUUUUUGUGGCCUCUCUUGGGGUCUUUCUUCGCUACAAACUCGAAUGGUUAGUAUGAACGUGGAACUUGGUUGGACCGUCACUGGCCAACAAACUAUACACAACUUUCGACAACGGAUCUCUUGGUUCUCCCAUCGAUGAAGAACGCAGCGAAACGCGAUAGGUAAUGUGAAUUGCAGAAUUCCGUGAAUCAUCGAAUCUUUGAACGCACCUUGCGCUCUAUGGCAAUCCGUAGAGCAUGCCUGUUUGAGUGCCAUGAAAUCUCCCACCCCAAGCGGUUUUUACAUGAAACGGCUUGGCGGAUGGGGUCUGGAUGGGUGCCUCUGCCUGCGCUACCUAGCACAGGCUCGCCCGAAAUGCAUGAGCGCCUUGAGACACUUUGCAUCCGCCUCUCUGUUUGGGAGGAGGCGGCCAAGCAGUGUUUUUCUCCUGGCAUGGCAUGAUACGUCAUUUGCUAUGUCGCCUAAAGGAGGAAUGUUUGGUUGUGUCUGCGUGUGCUUCGAACUUGCCUCUGUGGCACAUCCCAAUUUCACUUCUGGUCUCAAAUCAGGUAGGAUCACCCGCUGAACUUAAGCAUAUCAAUAAGCGGAGGA
rnacentral:sRNA from 1 species